UUUUUUCUUUUUUUUUUUUCAACGGGUGGAUUGGCGGCGUUUUUUGUGCUGUCUGUUGCCUCUGUAUUUCUAGGAUUUGCAGUGUUUGCGGACUGAUACGUUGACAUGGAAGUGAACUGCGUUUAAUACUUGGACCAAUCCAAACACCUUUGCUUAAUUGACUUGCAGCGUCAAGUUCUCCGGAGGCUGGAGGUCAUCCAGCUGCAAGAGCAGGGAGAUCAACUUACCAUUGGGACGCAGCAGUCUAUAGCUGCUCGACUUGUGUCUGGGCCAUUUCCUACCAUGGAGGGAGCGUUUGAUAGCAGUCUGGUUGCUGACACAAAACAAGCUUUUGCAAGUCCUUGAAGCCACCCGAAGAAUCUCGGUGUACCUAAGUGCAGACAAGUUGGCUGCAAAGUUUUCCUGGCAGGAAAGGGAAGACCAACUUGAGCAAAUUCACCAUGGCAAGCUGCAUUGUAGAUGUUGUGAGCGCCGCACAUCCAGCUGCUACAUUCUGCGUCCAAGCUGGAAUCAAAUCCUGUCUUCACUGUGCUUUGCAAAGACAAGCUUGUGUUUGAUGUAGAAACAUUUGGUUUUUUGGGACAAAGGAAACCACCUAUUAUAGCUUGAAACUUUCCUUCAGUGAGCUUGUGAAUAUUGGAUUGGGGCAUUGAGGGUGGUUAGCCUAUAUCCAAUGUCUGUUUUCCACCAGGCAAUCUGGAGCCUCUGCCUUGAUGGAAGAAGGCAGCAGUUGGCAAGCAGCCUUGCAGCGGCAUACGCCUUUUCAGCCCCUGCAACCCGAGCAUCCCACGAUGAAAAGUCCAUCUCAGAAACCUCGUUUUAAGGCUGAGAAUUGCACUUUGGAUUGACUUGUGCUUCACUUGAAACUUGUCAAGAGAGGUAGCAGCAUAGCUGAUGUAUGUUUCACAUGCACUGUGUUGCCCUUAGUUGUUGAAGCAGACUUUGGUUGAUGGCAGACUUUUCGCGGUGUUUUCCAGCUUUGGCGAGGCAAGUGGUGCCUCUCCUGGUGGAGAUCCGGCAGCACGUGAGGAGCCUGAAGCAGGACGUGGACGCCGUGAGGUCGCACGUUCUGCAGCUGGAGGCUGCCUCUCAGCAGGCUGAAGCCCCCCUUCCUGGCCCCGUGGCUUUGCCCUCCCUGCUGUCGGAUCUGCCCCUGCGGACAUUGCCAGACGUCCAGGAGGCCGAGCGAUUGCUGGCCGACGUCUCGGUCAGACAGGCUCUCAAAGUGCAGCUGCUUGGCAAGGGGUCCAAGGCACUUCAGCGCUGCGUCCAGAUCUUGGUGAGGCUACUGCUCACCAACGACCUGCAGCGCAACUACAGCCUGGCUGGCCGGCAGAAAAAACGAGCCUUCAAGGAGCUCCGCAUGGGCAAGAUCCUGCUCGCUGCUGUGGAGGAGAAAACGGGGCAGGACAGCGACAGUGUGGAGAAGGCAGUUGGUCGCUACCUGGCUGGCGCCCCUGCCCGGGCCAAGGAGGCCAAGGAGAGGGGCAAUGGAAACAGGGCUCUUCAGGAUGAUUCCACGGAUGGGACCACGGUCACGUUCCACUUCAAUGCAGAGCCAGAGGUUUCCCGAGAGACUCGACGACGGGGCGGCACAGCAGUGGCUCUUAAGAUGGAGCUGCCACAAGUCCAGAGCGAAGCAGUUUCCACGGGGACGGAGUUGGACGGUUCGAGCGGCAGCACUGCAAUGACGGCUGUUGCCAUCAAGACGGAGCCAGCAGAAUUUGUUGAAGAGGAUGAAGAGCCUAGCAGCCAUCUUGGAUCUGUCACGUCGGAGCCAGAAUGAUACGAGGAAGUUUGGGAACCCAGUGCCAGCUCUUACCAAUGGGGGCGAAGGACAGGCCCAAAUCUCCAAACACAGCUAGGUGACCCCCUGACCAGAUCACUCGCCUGCACAAACCGCCUUGGUGUCAAUUGCGUGGCUUUUCCCCAUCAAAACAAGGCCCUUUCCAGUGUGGUCAGUCUUGGGCUCCUUCUGGGUGCUUGCAAAGAGUUCCCAUUGGCUGGGCCACUGCAGUGGGUCCCGUCCGGGACGAAGCGCUAUCGCGGGCGAACGUCGCCUGCUUGCACAACGGGGAACGGCAUUGCAACUUGGCCCGUGCGGCCAGAACGACCGGACGUCCGUCCGGGGGCGGCAUCUUGGCAGGAAGUCUGACAACAUGGGGUCCUCGUGGAACCGACUGUCGCGGCCACCUCUGCACUCUCCCCCCGUCGUCUGCGACGGACCAUGGCCGCAAGCAGACGUAAUCACGCGAGGUUGAACAGUUGUAGUUGUUUGGACAAAGUUGUUGUGGCCUCCCUGCAGCACAGUGUGUUGCAACACAACCUGCUGGUUCGGGUGAGGGGCUCUUCUCGGCUAGCUUUUGGAGAUGGCGUACGCUGCCCGGAUCGAUUUUCACCCCAUGACGUUGUACAAGUGUUGCUGCAAUGGUGACGCAGCGGUGGAGCUGGGUGCGGGAGACAGUCGUUCGCCAGCUUGACGGUGUACUCUUGGCCCUGGCAGCCAGGAGUCGGAACGCCACGACAAUCUCAUUGUUUUUGUUUUCUACGGGACUUUAUUUGCUAGGAUCACGACAUCCAAGGGACUUCACUCUGGCUUUUGCGACGUCAUUUGUUGUCGUGUCUUGGACACAACCAAAUGCUAAACGCAGCAGUUGGAGGCACGUUCCAGGCCCUUAGCACAGCAACUUUUUGGGCCGCAAGCACCAUUAAAGUUUUGUCUCUAAACUGCAACAGUUCACUUUGUGCCCGCUCUGCAUGAAAGUAGACGCCCAGGUCCCAGUAAACGUGGCUUUGCUACGAAAUGGUCGACCCGUGUUUCGAUAAAUGGCACGAGGUGGUUCUACUCCAUCGGCCGGUCGGCCGCCAUUUGCGUGCCAUUCAUAGACUGCUUUGUGUGAGCCAUGGGUUCACAGGCGGCAAGAGCCAACAGUUGUACAAGCUCUUCCUCGGACACUACGACGGACUCGAGGGUGACUCGGGGCGGCGAGGAGUCUGCGGCCAGAGGACACAACCAGCACAGCCCUGGGUUGUACUCGAGUGGCGGCACAGUGCCCCGAACACUGCCUCCUCAAAAGCGGUCCGCCUUAGAGCUGUCGUGGUGCUUGGGAUGGAGAUGCUAGCUCGACAGUCGAGGCAAGCUCCCACAACCUGGGGUUGGGUCGCCACAUCUCGACGUGGGACACAACGCCUGGCGCAUUGUCCUUUGUUUGCCGCUUGGGAACUGGCUCGUGAUGUGCGGGCAGCAUGGGACGCCAAAGGCACCAGACGACCUAAUGGCGGCAUGCGAGCUGGCAACCAGAGACUGCAUUCCCAACGUCUGCUUUUGCCAAACUCCAAAUCUGGCCAAAGAGAUCCAGUGCUUGCGAACGAGCGGUCCAAUUAAUGGUGCGCGUAAGACGGUCGCAUUUCUUUGGCGCAUAGAUUUGGUCGGUAGCCAAUAUCUUAGACUGCAAGUCCUAUCUCAAUCUUGGCACUGGGUGUAAGCCUACGCCAAUAGACGUGGGGCUUUGCCGAUACUCUCCGUUGAAAGGUGGCCCAUAUUGGCACUGUCUAGGCACGGCCAAAGCGCUCUGGGCUACUACAUCACGACGGAAGCACUGCGACAUCUCGAUCCCACAUGGAGUAUCGUCGACGUGCCAAAAAAGUCCAAGUUCCAGUGGCCCCCAAUGUGGCAUCCGCGGACACGUUCCGUGCCCGUCGUGGCUUCCCUCGGUGUGUGCACAAACGGGUUGGGGUGUGGCACGGUCGAGCUCGUCCAAACUCUUUCAAGUUCAUCCAUCUUAGGAGCAUUUUUGCCAUUUUGUGAAUUCAUUAUUACGACGCGGAAGUCGCAAGCUCGUCGAGCGGCCGAGCCAAUUUAAUGCUAGUGCUGCCAAGAGUUUGUCAUAGAAGGGAACAGGAUUUCCCCGGCUCCCUUUGAGAAAAAGUUUGUUUUCAGUUUGGAUCUGUCAAGUGCUCUCGUUCUGCCCUUUUUCUGCCUCGUGUCUUAGAAAUGAAUAAAGACCUCGAGCUGCGUCUCCAACUGGCACUUUACCUGCCAGCCUUCUAUUUGGAGUGCCUGCUUGCAUCGCAUUUUAGACAAUACUUAAUUUUCUCUCGCAAUUAUAACUCGUUUAUGCACUUUUGAGACAGCUUGUACCCACCCCCUGUGCAACAUCCCGAGGGUAUCGAAAUAAACAAAUAAAAAUAUGACUUAUCCGCA
rnacentral:misc_RNA from 1 species